rnacentral:lncRNA from 1 species
AACGAUUGUUUUAAGGUUAUUGCAACAAUUAAUGAAAUUUAUGGCAACUGUAUAAUAAAGUAAGAUGAAAUGAUUAUCUAUAUAAUCACCAAAGGAAACUAGUAUUAAUCAACAAAAUUAUAUUCCAAAAUAUCCAACUAUUAUUAUUCACAUAUUAAAAGUAAAAUAUACAAUACUGUUUAACAAUUUAAGAGUUUACGGAAGCUUGAACAAAGUUUCAAAUAAAUAAAAGAUUCAUAGAACAUGCAAGAGUCUAGCACCGAUCAACCAAAUCUUAAGUAUCUUUACUGCAUUUAUCUUCUGCUUGUUUAUUUGAUCAACCUAUAAAAGAUGAUAACUAAAUAUUAGAAAAGGUUGAGCAAAUAUAACUGUGCAAUUAUAGACUCAGAUAACAACUAAAAUGAGCAGUAGAAGAUCCAAAAAUAUGACAUUGAAUUUCUUUACAAGAAAUAUUAUAACAGUACAUGAACGAAGUUCCUGAUAGAUCAAUGAAAAAGAAAAUGUGAUAUAACAAAUAUUAGAAAUUGGGAUAAAAUGUUCAUUAUAUUGUAACUGUUAUAUUUACAAGAGCCAAACCACUCUAUCGCAAUUUUUGAUGGACAUAGAACCACUAUACUCAGAGAAGCUCAAGUACAAUGAGUUAACUAACUUUUUUAUUGUUACUAUCAAUUAACUAUUUGUUUUGUUGUUAUUAUCAGUUAACUAUUAAGCCACUCAUUGACCAAAGUCUUCAGAAUAGUUCUUAAAAUGACCUCAAUCUCCAACUUAAGAAACAACCGAAGUACCAAGUUCUAGCUUAUAAAAAGGGCAUUACACCAGAAAGACUGACCAACUAUGAAGCAUAAAAAUUAAUAGAUCAAAAGAGCUAACAUUUUUGGAUGAUAAAGGUAGGUGAUAAUGGAUAAAAGUUUUGGCACAGGGUACAUAAAGCUCACUAGCUUCUAAAACAUAAUGAAUUUUACAAAUUGUAGAUAGGGAAGAACUGAUUCUUGGUUUUGCACUCACUUGUUUAACUAUCAUUUUUAAUUUAAAGACUUUAAGGUGUUGUUAUACAAGAGAGGGAAAAUGAACUAUCUUUAUUCAUAAAUUGGUAGUUCUCUCGUUGUUUAUUCUAUGCCAACGUCUCAAAAAGACCUCUCCCACCACCCAGCUCUUGGGGUAAUUGAGUAUUUUGACAAUUCUUUUAUUUGUAAGAACAUGAACUUUUACUGAGUAAAAAAUUAAUAUUAAGGUGCAACUGUCAUAAAAGCCCGUCAAAUUAACUUUUGUGAGUGACAGUCUUUUGCCAAGUCUAACUCUUUCAAUUGAUUUUAGCAUGCGACUUCUUAGAAAUAUUUCCCUCAGAUUUUUCCCAUGAAGUCCAAAGAGAUUGUCCUAUGAAAAUGCAGUAUUCCACUACAACUACUCAUGAAGACAUCAUAUGAAUAUAAAUGUGCGUAUAUGGAAAAGAGAUGUUGAAAAGAACACACCAUCACAUAUCAAAGUGGCAGCAAAAAAUAUCAAAGUUCUUACCUUAUCAAAGGAAGAAGAGAACUAGCACCAUUAGCAGCAGUUUUCAAGCAAGAGAAUUUUGUAGCUACAAAAAAAUAAAAAUAGCAUUUACAAUAAUGCAAAAGAAAAUUACAUCUAUCUCUAACCCGAGUUUUGUCAAAUCCUAUUAACUGCAGCAAGGUGAAAAUCUUUCAGAGAAAAUGAAGUUGACUUACUAACAACACAAGUUCAUUAAGGGAUUUGCUUGAAGUGGGAUUUCACAUUACCAUUUCCAUACUUCUCUAUAUCUGAAGUGAAAAUUUUAGUAUUCUUAAAUCCUACCAUACCAAUAGCCUUUUCAUAUAUGUGCGCUUAGGCAAAAUAUUGCCAUACUAAAUAAUAUACAAUCCAAUAGAAGAGAUUAAAAAAUAAAGAAGAACUGUCCAAGUAAGUCAAAUAUGGCAUUAAGUAAUAGUAUAACAGAGAAACUAAUGGAGGAGCCAAAGGAAAAUGUCCCACCACUAUCAUAGAUGACAUAUCCAGCUUAUGACAAUAUGAACAACAUGCCUUAGGUUUUCGUUGAAUAAAGUAUAGUGAACCAUACCUUCAGUUGUAAGAUUAAACUCUUUGAUAGAAACUGCUAAAAAAUCCUCUUUCCAGUGUCUUCCCAGUUGCACUAGCAACAAAUAAUUUCUUCUUUUGACUGAUAUUCACUUCCUCCUUCCCUUCAUUUUCACUUCAUUCUUUCUGUAAUCAAUCAAAUCAGAUACCAAAAUAACAAAGAAAAUCCACAAAUAGCAGUAGUACAUUUUCCCCCUUAGCAUAUCUUGAAAUAGGACUAAAUAAAACUUAAGAGAAAAAAUAUAUAGCAGCCCAAUUUUGUCUUCGGCAGAUCUAAUAAUUAAAAUCCACCAACUCAACUUUAAUUUCUCAAACUAGAAACCCUACCAAAUUAAACUCCCUUUUUGCAAAUUAGAAAUCAUAAUCACAAAAUGUAUCGGCAUAAUACAAAGAAAAAGAGAAACAGAAACACGAAAUUUCUAAACAAGAAUAACAGAUUUAUGAGAAAAAAGUUACCUCCUGUUCAAACUCCAAAAUCCUCAAGCUCAGUCAUAGAUGAGAGAAAGCAAGAACAACGAAUAGAAGGAGAUGGUGGAGGGGAAACCUAUGCCAGAGGGGAAGUCUACGUCGUAGGUCGCCUUGCCUUCGCCGCAGGGAUAGUGUCGACACAGUCGAUGCUGGCUGUGUGAGAAGUGUUUUAGGGCAAGGGGUUUUAGCCUUUUAGGUGAUUUAAGACUUAGAAAAAACAAAAAUGCUAUUUAAAAAAUAAGUCGUGGCCGUGUAUUUUAUUGAUUACCCUUUUUAGUUUUGGGGGGGGGGGGGGGGAUAAGAACCGUCUCGAUAGCCCUUUUUUCGCGUAACCGUUGCAACAAGGUCACCUACUGCCACGGUUUCCAAAACCG